rnacentral:rRNA from 1 species
UACGUAGGGUGCGAGCGUUAAUCGGAAUUACUGGGCGUAAAGCGUGCGCAGGCGGUUCGUUAAGUCAGAUGUGAAAGCCCCGGGCUCAACCUGGGAACUGCAUUUGAAACUGGCGGGCUUGAGUGUGGCAGAGGGGGGUGGAAUUCCGCGUGUAGCAGUGAAAUGCGUAGAGAUGUGGAGGAACACCGAUGGCGAAGGCAGCCCCCUGGGCUAACACUGACGCUCAUGCACGAAAGCGUGGGGAGCAAACAGG